AAAACGGUCCUUUUCAGGACCACCGAUCAUAGACCAGUAAAAGCCA
rfam:Acyrthosiphon pisum strain LSR1 Contig37550, whole genome shotgun sequence.